CCUACGGGAGGCAGCAGUGGGGAAUUUUGGACAAUGGGCGAAAGCCUGAUCCAGCCAUGCCGCGUGCAGGAAGAAGGCCUUCGGGUUGUAAACUGCUUUAGUCUAGGAAAAAGGGAUGCCCGGUUAAUACCUGGGUGUUUUGAUGGUACUGGAAGAAUAAGCACCGGCUAACUACGUGCCAGCAGCCGCGGUAAUACGUAGGGUGCGAGCGUUAAUCGGAAUUACUGGGCGUAAAGCGUGCGCAGGCGGUCUUGUAAGACAGUCGUGAAAUCCCCGGGCUUAACCUGGGAACUGCGAUUGUGACUGCAAGGCUAGAGUGUGUCAGAGGGGGGUGGAAUUCCACGUGUAGCAGUGAAAUGCGUAGAGAUGUGGAGGAACACCGAUGGCGAAGGCAGCCCCCUGGGAUAACACUGACGCUCAUGCACGAAAGCGUGGGGAGCAAACAGGAUUAGAUACCCUGGUAGUCCACGCCCUAAACGAUGUCGACUGGUUGUUGGGUACGGUAACCACUUAGUAACGAAGCUAACGCGUGAAGUCGACCGCCGNGGAGGUACGGUCGCGAGAUAACUACAANAGAGUAACGUACGNGAGACGNGCGACGACGACGACGAGGGAGGAG
rnacentral:rRNA from 1 species